AAUCUUGCCAACAUGUUCGCCCAAAUAACAAGAACAACCCAAUAAAAUUCCACUAGUGGGGUCUGAGAGGGGCAGUGUGUACGCAGACCUUACCCCUAUUUCAAAGGAGUAGAGAUGCUCUUUCCGAAAGACCCUAGGCUCAAGAAAACAAAAAGACAAAAGGAGACAAUAUUGGUAUCACCACAGAAAUCAUAGGAAAAAUAAGGACAACAUGAAAUCCAGAAGAAAGAUGCAAGGCAAAAGCGAUAGUUAGUAAAUAGGUUCUGCACUGAAAAGUGAAAUAGUAAGAUGUAACAUUGCCACUAGCUAUCUUA
rnacentral:lncRNA from 1 species